rnacentral:piRNA from 1 species
UGUCAAUAAUGAGCAUGGGGGUUUC